AGCGAACGCUGGCGGCAGGCCUAACACAUGCAAGUCGAACGAACCUUUCGGGGUUAGUGGCGGACGGGUGAGUAACACGUGGGAACGUGCCUUUAGGUUCGGAAUAACUCAGGGAAACUUGUGCUAAUACCGAAUGUGCCCUUCGGGGGAAAGAUUAAUCGCCUUUAGAGCGGCCCGCGUCUGAUUAGCUAGUUGGUUGAGGUAAUGGCUCACCAAGGCGACGUUCAGUAGCUGGUCUGAGAGGAAGGUCAGCCACAUUGGGACUGGGACACGGCCCGAACUCCUACGGGAGGGAGGAAGGGGGGAUCUUGCGCAAUGGGCGGAAGGCUGACGGAGCCAGGCCGGGGGAAUUAUGAAGGUCUUAAGGAUGUAAAAUUUUUUCACCGGGGAAGAUAAUGACGGUACCCGGAGAAAAAGCCCCGGCUAACUUCGUG
rnacentral:rRNA from 1 species